ACAAACUUGGUCAUUUAGAGGAAGUAAAAGUCGUAACAAGGUUUCCGUAGGUGAACCUGCGGAAGGAUCAUCAAUAGUCUCAACGUCUUGCCCGGAAUCCCCUUGGAUAUUCACCGGCUUGACAAAAUACCUUCUUGUGCACUGUCUGUUGGUUAUAACUGGGGGAGUUGUUGAAGUAUGCUCCGGUAUACUUUGCGCCCCCAAAAAGCUCUGUUAACAAUAUUGUCUUAGGAUCAGGUUGAGAAAGUUGAUAAAAAUACAUAUACAACUUACAGCGAUGGAUCUCUAGGCUCUGGUGUCGAUGAAGAACGCAGC
rnacentral:misc_RNA from 1 species